AUUUCUUGUAAUCCUAGACAGAGUUCAGAGUUCAUGAUAUAGACUAGCUUGGAGCUCCUCUACAAAACAAGGUUCAAGAAAAAUGAAAAUCCAGGACAAGAACUCUCGAAGUAUGACCAAAAGAAAAGGAAACCACUAAAUUGGCUACGGAAAAUGUGUGAGAUAACUCACAAGCCAAUAACAUAAUCCAAAAGAGAUAACUCGCAAGUGAUGCUUCCGAGAGACGGAAAUAAGCAAAAAAAAAUUAUAACUUCUAAGUAUGUGGGGGCAACGGAACGACGCCGACGAGAUGAGAGGCAUUCUAACCAUCAUCACUCAUGGGAAGAUCAGAACUUAUAAGUGAGAAACUUGAGAGUAAGAAUUUUCUUCUUUCCCUUUUAUUUUUGUUAUUUUCAUUAUUUGUUCAUAUAUUUACAUUUUGACCCCUUGAGUAUUGAAAAUUUUUAAAAUUGACCCCGUGCGUGUCGGAAUUUCGGACUCGCGUGUCAGAGCGUGUCGGGAAGAGUUGACCAUGUGUCCGACACUCCAACACGGUCAACGAGUGUCGGAAAAUCCAAGAUAAGACCUACAAUUAGCUUUCCCUUGUUAAGAGAAACUCAUAUUAAGAACAAAAAAUUAAUUGAAAGUCAUAUUUGCUUUUCCUCAACAAAAAAAAAAAAAAAAAAAAAAACAACAACAACAAGAUAAGACCUACAAUUAGCUUUCCCUUGUUUCUAGCUAGUAAGCAUGGGAUUUACCUCGUAGCUUUUUGCGUGUUUUGUUUUGUGAACAAGUGUUGGGAGUGUGGAUGGAGAAACAUUUCUAGGUGUUAUGGAGAUACUUUCCAGUAGGAGAUCCGAUGCUGACUAGAUCACCACAUCAAUGAUUUCGAACAAAAUUGAACAGAUGGAUUAUAUUAAAAUACUGUCAAAAGAUUUAGGAUUAAAUCGGCUAAAUUGAAAUGUUUAUAACUAAAUCGGCCAUCGUAUAAUAGGUUUAGUAUUUUUUUUUUAUAUGAGUUUUUAGAGAAUUUGCAUUUGGUGAUGACAAGAGAAUUAAACAUAUGAUUUGAGAGGACUGACAUAGAAUAAUCAUUUGUUCAAUAGGAUAAAACAAAUGUUUGAUGAUGAGAUUCUCCACAUUUGAUGAUGAGAUUCUCCACAUUUGAUGAUGACAAGAGAAUUAAACAAAUAGCUCAAGACAAGUAAACAAAUGAGUGUUUUUUGUCCAAGAAGUCCAACGGAAGGGACGAGUACUUCACUCCUCUACCUAAGGAGAGGGAGGACUCUCUCUUGAAGAGAAGACCUCCCAUUGGUCUACAAAUAUGUUUGCUCAACUUGCAUCCUUGCAGCAAGUUUUACUAUGGACAAGGAAGGAAGAUAGUAAUCAUAUGAUUUGAGAGGACUGACAUAGAAUAGUCAUUUGUUCAAUAGGAUAAAACAAAUGAUUGCAUCCGAUUCUCUGCAUUUGAUGAUGACAAGAGAAUUAAACAAAUAGCUCAAGACAAGUAAACAAAUGAGUGUCUUUUGCCCAAGAGGUCCAACGGAAGGGACGAGUACUUCACUCCUCUACCUAAGGAGAGGGAGGACUCUCCCCUAAAGAGAAGACCUCACAUUGGUCUACAAAUAUGUUUGCUCAACUUGCAACCUCACAACAAGUUUUACUAUAGACAAGGAAGGAAGAGAGCAACCACUCAAAACUCAUAGGUUAAUGGCAAACAACAUUCCAGCCAAUCAUUGUAGUCUGAGGUAAGCACCAGCGUCAAGCCACAACAUCUCUUCACUGUUGUAGUCCAGCCUCCAAUAUAUUGGAGGACUACAAGUAAAAUCAUGCAAUCUCGAUUUCCUUUCCUAAAAAGGAACUUCCUAUCUUCGAUCAUUUCCCCCGUGUGUGUUCCAUUACUCAAACACUGUUUUGUCUCCUCAGCAUAGAUUAGGUGAACCCGUCCUUUUCAAUGUUGCAUUUGGAAACCAUUGCCCCAUUUUUGUUUACUUCGUUAGUUGAUUAAUGGGUUUAUUCUCAAUUCUCAUUGUUUGAGCUUUUGUACCGGUUGUCUAAUAAGUAAUCUACUGAUUUUAAUUUCAAGCAAUGGAAUAGAGCACGUGGCUCAAAUUGCUGCAGAAUACAAUCAACAACUUGAUUCCUUGGUGGAAGCCUUGCUUCAACUCAUCAAGGAUUGGCAUGGCUAUUCAAGUCUAGCCAACAUUACCGGUGCACCUAUCAUUAUGCUUAUUUGUGUAGCAAUCAAGAUUGUUCGGCAGAAAUUACUCUCCGAGAUGGGAAGGCAGGAUAUGGACACAAGGUUCCAAAUUAUGUAUGAUCUAAUUGCUCUAGCUCUCGGAUGUGUUGCGUGCAGUCUGUUGAUGUACAUUCUGCUUGAUGAAAUACCUUGGUUGAUUGACUUUCCUUGGGUCCUAUUGUUACUAUUCCUCUUUGCAUUCAUCAUGAAUCAAAGGAUUAAUUAGUGAAAGGUGAUAGUUUCCGAUUUUCUAAUAUGGUGAUGUGUAUU
rnacentral:lncRNA from 1 species